rnacentral:rRNA from 1 species
GAAACAGGAUUUUCUCCGCAAGGAGACAGCGAGACAGGUGCUGCAUGGCUGUCGUCAGCUCGAGUCGUGAGAUGUUGGGUUAAGUCCCGCAACGAGCGCAACCCUCAUCCUUAGUUGCCAGCAUUGAGUUGGGCACUCUAAGGAAACUGCCCCGGUUAACGGGGAGGAAGGUGGGGAUGACGUCAAGUCCUCAUGGCCUUUAUGUCCAGGGCUACACAGGUGCUACAAUGGGCGGUAUAGAGGGUUGCCAUACUGUGAGGGAAAGCUAAUCCCAAAAAACCGUUCUCAUUUCUGAUUGGAAUCUGCAACUUGACUCUAUGAAUGCUGAAUCGCUAGUAAUCGCGGAUCAUCAUGCCGCGGUGAAUAAUGCCCCGGCCCUUGUACCACCGUCCGCCAACCAUGAAAGCUGA